GGUCUCCAAGGGGUCUGAAAGUCUUGCAUGCGGCUUUCAUAAAAGGAAACAUCUGCUUGUAAUAGUGGUCCUGCUCCAGCGAGGCUGAGGGGAGUCAGGAUGGCUGAGGUGACUGACAGCUUCCCUGGCCCUGUUGUGCCUGGCAGAUGUGGAGGUGUCACAGUAGUGAUGAAUUGUUUACACUCACCUGUCGGCCACGUCCUUCAGCGUCGGGGGGAUAGGCCUGAGCUACGGGAAAGGGGUGGCUGCACUGCCACAGGGUCAACAAUAUCUUCAGGCAGCAGAAGGUGUCACCUUCAUCGGACCUGACACACAUGCUACUCAAACCAUGGGAGACAAGAUCAGGGGCAAAUUAAUCGCCAAGAUGCCAAGGUCAGUGUCGUGCCCCCAUGCGCGUGGGCUGGUCAAGCAACAAAGCCAAUGAUUUCCACAUAAGAGCAGUGGGGAGACAGAGGAGGAUUGGGUAGACGGCCCCUCCAGAGCCCGCUGAAGUGAAGCCGUAGUUGGGUGUUUUGGCCGGUCUCGCCCGGCCGCCCCACAGCAGGUUUGAAGCCUCCUCUAUCACUGCCUCCAAUCAAUAGAAGAGCUGCUCCCCCUGCUGCCUAUCUCAUGCUACAACUUCCUCUUCCCUCACCCCUUCCAUUGGCACACAUCAUCACCCUUCACAUUUCCUCUCCUUUUAUCCCUAUUUCCCUCUCUCUGCAGUGAAACAGUCAGGAUGAUCC